AAAAUAAAUAAGGAGAUAAUUUAGCCAACUUAUUGACUUAAUCUAAUCCUCUUGGGUUCACAAUUAGGCACCCAGCUAAAUCUUAAUGGAUUUAGAUUAGGUUCAAUGCAAUGGACUUGAUCCUAUCGAAAUCUUGAGAAGAAUUAAGUUUAACCAUGUGCUAGCAUGGUUCUUUUAAACCCAAUAAGAUUUCAAUAAAUCCUAAUCCAAUUAGAACUUCAUAAGUCCAAUUGGCAAAUUCAAGAUUAAAUCCUUUAAUGUGUGACCCCA
rnacentral:lncRNA from 1 species